rnacentral:rRNA from 1 species
UACGUAGGGUGCAAGCGUUAAUCGGAAUUACUGGGCGUAAAGGGUGCGUAGGCGGUUCGUUAAGUCUGUCGUGAAAUCCCCGGGCUCAACCUGGGAAUGGCGAUGGAUACUGGCGAGCUAGAGUGUGUCAGAGGAUGGUGGAAUUCCCGGUGUAGCAGUGAAAUGCGUAGAUAUCGGGAGGAACACCAGUGGCGAAAGCGGCCUUCUGGACCAGUACUGACGCUCAUGCACGAAAGCGUGGGGAGCAAACAGG